AUGACUGACAAUGCUAUUUAUUCCGUUUUAGAGCUUUCUACUGCAUCCCAAGCCCGGAAUGACUACAGACUGCAGCAAAAAGCUUCUUCUUCAAGAUCCCCUCUCUCUUACUACGUGGCAGUAGCGUUGGGGCUUCUGUGUGCCAUUCUAGUGACUUUGCUGCUUUUCCAGUGGAUUCUGUGCCGGGGUUCCAAGUUCUCCACUUGUGCCAGCUGUCCUAGCUGCCCAGACCUCUGGGUGAGGUAUGGUGACCAUUGUUAUUACUUCUCAGUGGAAGAAAAGAACUGGAAUUCUAGCCUGGAAUUCUGCUUAGCCAGAGAUGCACAUCUCCUUAUGUUUAAAGACAACCAGAAAAUGUUCCCGCUCCGAAAUUUCCUCAGUCAAGACUUUUACUGGGUUGGUCUGAGAAACAAUUCUGGCUGGAGGUGGGAAGAUGGAUCAGCCUUAAACGCCUCAAGAAUAUUUUCAAACAGCUUGGUACAGAAGUGUGGUACCAUCAGCAAAAGUGGUCUCCAAGCCUCUAGCUGUGAAGUUGCUUUACCGUGGGUCUGUAAGAAGGUCAGACAUUGAUGGAUGGUCAGUCUGUCAUGUGGCUCCCUGCAAAGAGGGAGCUGGCCUCUGGAUGUCAGGUUGGCCAUGGACACAGUGAGAGUCUUCAUUCUUCUCUACUGGGAUGGCCAAGAAGGCUGGAGAGACCUCCAACUGCACGCUGACCUGUCCCCCAUUCCCACCCACAAAUUUGAGAAAGAACACAGGCAAAAGGGUCGAGGGUAGCUUCCUACUUUCUGUUAUUUUAAGUAUCUCAGGACCAAGUUAGAAAAAGAAAACUGCAUUGUUUAGCUAUGAGAUAAAUGAACUAUGAAUCUAAACAACUACCAGAAAAGAGUGGAGCGGAACGGAAAGGAUCAGGAAUCAAUGAUCACACCAGCACCACAGAGGAGGAUUCAGAUCCUUUUAUGAACUCAAUU